CUGAGAAUGAGUGAUGUUGCACAUCUUUUCAUAUACCUGUUGGCCAUUUGUAUGUCUUCAGAGAAAUAUCUGUUCAAAUCUUUUGCUCAUUUAAAAAAUUGGGUUAUUUGUGGGAUUUUUCUGUUAAGUUACAGGAAUUCCUUAUAUUUUGGAUAUUAACCUCUUAACAGAUACAUGGUUUACAAAUAUUUUAUCACAUUCUGAAGCUGCCUUCUAACUAUGUUGAUUGUUUCCCUUGCAGUGCAUAAACUGUUUAGAUUCAUGUUGUCCCACUUGCAUUUUGUUGCCUGUGAUUUUUGUGUCACAUUCAAGAAAUCAUUGCCAACACCAAUGUCAUAAAGCUUUUCCUUUAUGUUUUCUUCUGGGAGUUUUAAAAUUUUAGGUAUUACAUUUAAGUCUUUAAUUUAUUUUGAGUUGAUGUUUGUCCAACAAAGAUGUAACGGCCACCAUAAUGAGAAAGUAACUUUGUACUGAAAGAUGAAGCAGGCCACUACAUAGAAUAUAACAGAAUUUAUUGUAGGGUAAUUUACUUAAUGGGAAGAUAGGGUUAGAGCAGAAGAGACAACCCAGCAACUCUGUACAGAUUAGUCUUCACUAACAGACCCCUGUUACUGUAAUUAUUCAAUAGGAUAACUCAGGUGCUAAUGACUGAUAGGACAAAGGGACAAAGAACACAGUGGCACCAGGGGCCAUACCUCCCAGUGAUCUUGUGAUAGAUGAUUGUAAUCUUCUAAUCUGUACUAUUACUGGUUUCAUAUUUAUCUUGGUUGUCAUGCCAUUCUAGUUGUUAA